AGCCCUGAGGUGUUACAUGUUAGAUUGCAAAUCUAAAGAAGCAGGUUGACGCCUGCCGGGGCUU
rnacentral:tRNA from 1 species